AGGUUAAGUGAAUAAGGGCGCACGGUGGAUGCCUUGGCACUAGGAGCCGAUGAAGGACGGGACUAACACCGAUAUGCUUUGGGGAGCUGUAAGUAAGCUAUGAUCCAGAGAUUUCCGAAUGGGGGAACCCAGCAUCUUUUAUAGGAUGUUACGUCUGCGUGAAUACAUAGCGCAGUCGAGGUAGACGCAGAGAACUGAAACAUCUAAGUACCUGCAGGAAGAGAAAGAAAAUUCGAUUCCCUGAGUAGCGGCGAGCGAAACGGGAAAAGCCCAAACCAACAAGCUUGCUUGUUGGGGUUGUAGGACUCCGAUAUGGUAGUCUAUUCAGAUAGUCGAAAUACUUGGAAAAGUAUGUCAAAGAGGGUAAAAACCCCGUAGGCGAAAUUUGGAUAACACCUAGGAGGAUCCUGAGUACGGCGGAACACGAGGAAUUCCGUCGGAAUCCGGGAGGACCAUCUCCCAAGGCUAAAUACUCCCUAGUGACCGAUAGUGAACCAGUACCGUGAGGGAAAGGUGAAAAGCACCCCGGAAGGGGAGUGAAAUAGAUCCUGAAACCGUGUGCCUACAACAAGUUAGAGCCCGUUAAUGGGUGAUAGCGUGCCUUUUGUAGAAUGAACCGGCGAGUUACGAUAGCAUGCGAGGUUAAGUUGAAGAGACGGAGCCGUAGCGAAAGCGAGUCUGAAUAGGGCGAAUGAGUAUGUUGUCGUAGACCCGAAACCAUGUGAUCUACCCAUGUCCAGGUUGAAGGUGCGGUAAAACGCACUGGAGGACCGAACCCACGUACGUUGAAAAGUGCGGGGAUGAGGUGUGGGUAGCGGAGAAAUUCCAAACGAACUUGGAGAUAGCUGGUUCUCUCCGAAAUAGCUUUAGGGCUAGCCUCGGAAUUGAGAAUGAUGGAGGUAGAGCACUGUUUGGACUAGGGGCCCAUCUCGGGUUACCGAAUUCAGAUAAACUCCGAAUGCCAUUCAUUCAUAUCCGGGAGUCAGACUGUGAGUGAUAAGAUCCAUAGUCGAAAGGGAAACAGCCCAGACCACCAGCUAAGGUCCCCAAAUAACUAUUAAGUGGAAAAGGAUGUGGGGUUGCACAGACAACUAGGAUGUUGGCUUAGAAGCAGCCACCAUUUAAAGAGUGCGUAAUAGCUCACUAGUCGAGUGACCCUGCGCCGAAAAUGUACCGGGGCUAAAUAGUUUACCGAAGCUGUGGAGUGCACCAUCAGGUGCAUUGGUAGGAGAGCGUUCUAAGGGCGUUGAAGGCAGAUCGUGAGGACUGCUGGAGCGCUUAGAAGUGAGAAUGCCGGUAUGAGUAGCGAAAGACAGGUGAGAAUCCUGUCCACCGAAUGACUAAGGUUUCCUGGGGAAGGCUCGUCCGCCCAGGGUUAGUCGGGACCUAAGCCGAGGCCGACAGGCGUAGGCGAUGGACAACAGGUUGAUAUUCCUGUACCCGUUGUUUUUGUUUGAGCAAUGGAGGGACGCAGGAGGCUAAGAAGUGCAGACUGAUGGAUAUGUCUGUUCAAGCAGUAAGUCUUGGUAGGAGUCAAAUGCUUCUACCUAUACGGACAAGCUGUGAUGAGGAGGGAAAUAAUAGUACCGAAGCUUCUGAUGUCACACUGCCAAGAAAAGCUUCUAGUGAGAAAACAACGGCCCGUACCGCAAACCGACACAGGUAGUCGAGGAGAGAAUCCUAAGGUGAGCGAGAGAACUCUCGUUAAGGAACUCGGCAAAAUGACCCCGUAACUUCGGGAGAAGGGGUGCUGCUCUAACGAGCAGCCGCAGUGAAUAGGCCCAAGCGACUGUUUAUCAAAAACACAGGUCUCUG
rnacentral:rRNA from 1 species